AAAAUAGAUACCCCCGGUAGUCCACCCCGUAAAACGUUGGGAAACUAGUUGUGGGGUCCUUUCCACGGAUUUCCGUGACGCAGCUAACGCAUUAAGUUCCCCGCCUGGGGAGUACGGCCGCAAGGGCUAAAACUCAAAGGAAUUGAACGGGGACCCGCACAAGCGGGCGGAGCAUGCGGAUUAAUUCGAUUGCAACGCGAAGAACCUUACCAAGGCUUGACAUACACCAGAACACCCUAGAAAUAGGGGGACUCUUUGGACACUGGUGAACAGGUGGUGCAUGGUUGUCGUCAGCUCGUGUCGUGAGAUGUUGGGUUAAGUCCCGCUAACGGAGCGCAACCCGUUCGGUUCUAUGUUGCCAGCACGUAAUGGUGGGUAACUCAUGGGAUACUGCCGGGGUCAACUCGGGAGGAAGGUGGGGAUGACGGUCAAAGUCAGUCAUCGGCCCCUUUAAUGGUCUUGGGUCUUCACGGUCAUGCUACAAGUCGGCCGGUACAAGGGUCUGCGAAUUACCGGUGAGGUCGGAGCGAACUCCCGAAAAACGCCGGUCCCAGUUACGGAUUCGAGGUCUGACAACUCGACCU
rnacentral:rRNA from 1 species